rnacentral:rRNA from 1 species
CCUACGGGAGGCAGCAGUGAGGAAUAUUGGGCAAUGGGCGCGAGCCUGAACCAGCCAAGCAGCGUGAAGGAUGACUGCCCUACGGGUUUUAAACUUCUUUUAUAGAGAAAUAAAGUGAGGCACGUGUGCCUUUUUGUAUGUACUUUAUGAAGUACGAUCGGCUAACUCCGUGCCAGCAGCCGCGGUAAUACGGAGGAUGCGAGCGUUAUCCGGAUGUGUUGGGUUUAAAGGGAGCGUAGAUGGGUUGUUAAGUCAGUUGUGAAAGUUGGGGGCUCAACCGUAAAAUUGCAAUUGAUACUGGCAGUCUUGAGUACAGUUGAGGUAGGCGGAAUUCGUGGUGUAGCGGUGAAAUGCUUAGAUAUCACGAAGAACACCGAUUGCGAAGGCAGCUUACUAAACUGCCACUGACAUUGAUGCUCGAAAGUGUGGGUAUCAAACAGGAUUAGAUACCCGAGUAGUC